GCCAGGGAUGGUGGUGCAUUCCUGCAGUCCCAGCUACUUGGGAGGCUGAGGCAGGAGGAUCAUCUGAACCCAAGGAGGCUGAGGCUGCAGUGAGCCAUGAUCGUGCCACUGCAUUCCAGCUUGGGUGACAGAGUGAGACCCUGUCUUUA
rfam:Chlorocebus sabaeus isolate 1994-021 chromosome 21, whole genome shotgun sequence.